GUGAGGAAUAUUGGACAAUGGGCGCAAGCCUGAUCCAGCCAUGCCGCGUGCAGGAAGACGCAUCUAUGGUGUGUAAACUGCUUUUGUACGGGAAGAAACACUCCCUCGUGAGGGAGCUUGACGGUACCGUAAGAAUAAGGAUCGGCUAACUCCGUGCCAGCAGCCGCGGUAAUACGGAGGAUCCAAGCGUUAUCCGGAAUCAUUGGGUUUAAAGGGACCGUAGGCGGUUUAAUAAGUCAGUGGUGAAAGCCCAUCGCUCAACGAUGGAACGGCCAUUGAUACUGUUAGACUUGAAUUACAAGGAAGUAACUAGAAUAUGUAGUGUAGCGGUGAAAUGCUUAGAUAUUACAUGGAAUACCAAUUGCGAAGGCAGGUUACUACUUGUGGAUUGACGCUGAUGGACGAAAGCGUGGGGAGCGAACAGGAUUAGAUACCCGGGUAGUCC
rnacentral:rRNA from 1 species